AGCGAACGCUGGCGGCAGGCCUAACACAUGCAAGUCGAACGAACCUUUCGGGGUUAGUGGCGGACGGGUGUGUAACACGUGGGAACGUGCCUUUAGGUUCGGAAUAACUAAGGGAAACUUGUGCUAAUACCGAAUGUGCCCUUCGGGGGAAAGAUUUAUCGCCUUUAGAGCGGCCCGCGUCUGAUUAGCUAGUUGGUUGAGGUAAUGGCUCACCAAGGCGACGAUCAGUAGCUGGUCUGAGAGGAUGAUCAGCCACAUUGGGACUGAGACACGGCCCAAACUCCUACGGGAGGCAGCAGUGGGGAAUCUUGCGCAAUGGGCGAAAGCAUGACGCAGCCAUGCCGCGUGAAUGAUGAAGGUCUUAGAAUUGUAAAAUUCUUUCACCGGGGAAGAUAAUGACGGUACCCGGAGAAGAAGCCCCGGCUAACUACGUG
rnacentral:rRNA from 1 species